GGCAAGAUGGCCGAGCGGUCUAAGGCGCCAGACUCAAGUUUGAUAAGAACUUGCCUCUCUCAUUGCAAAGAGAGGUCCUUCAUUCUGGUCACGAAAGUGGCAGGGGUUCGAAUCCCCUUCUUGUCA